GGCCUCCUUGAGCUGUGGUGGGCUCCACCCAGUUCCAGCUUCCCAGCUGCUUUGUUUACCUAAUCAAGCCUGGGCAAUGGCGGGCGCCCCUCCCCCAGCCUCGCUGCCGCCUUGCAGUUUGAUCUCAGACUGCUGUGCUAGCAAUCAGGGAGAUUCCGUGGGCGUAGGACCCUCCAAGCCAGGUGUGGGAUAUAGUCUAGUGGUGCGCCGUUUUUUAAGCCUGUCGGAAAAGCGCAGUAUUCUGGUGGGAGUGACCCGAUUUUCCAGGUGCCGUCCGUCACCCCUUUCUUUGACUAGGAAAGGGAACUCCGUGACCCCUUGCGCUUCCUGAGUGAGGCAAUGCCUCGCCCUGCUUCGGCUCUCGCACGGUGCGCGCUCCCACUGACCUGCGCCCACUGUCUGGCACUCCCUAGUGAGAUGAACCCGGUACCUCAGAUGGAAAUGCUGAAAUCACCCGUCUUCUGCGUCGCUCAGGCUGGGAGCUGUAGACCGGAGCUGUUCCUAUUCGGCCAUCUUGUCUCCUCCCCCCAGCCCACAACAGCCUAUGAAGAAUAACUAGAGGUCUUCAUAUCAGAGGCAGAAGGUAAGAAUCUGCUGAAUACAGCAGCAAAAGCCAGGAUAGGUCAUCUGUAAGGGUCUUAUCUUUUAGCAAUACAACUGGAGUUUAUAAAACUAGCUUAUCAAGAAUAAUCCAUACAGGUUGGGCACGGUGGCUCACACCUGUAAUCCCAGCACUUUGGGAGUCUGAAGUGGGUGAAUCAUUUGAGCCCAGGAGUUCAAGACCAGCCCAGUCAACAUGGUGAAACCCCAUCUCCACUAAAAAUACAAAAAUUAGCCAGGUGUGGUGGUGUGUGCCUGUAGUCUCAGCUACUUGGGAGGCUAAGGGAAGAGUGUGACCUAAGCCUGGGAGGCGGAGGCUGCAUCGAGCUGAGAUUGUGCCACUGCACUCCAGCCUGGGCAACAGAGCCAGACCUUGCCUCAAAAAAACAAAACAAACAAAACAAAAACAAAAAGAAUAAUCCAUAUAGUAUGUUAGCAAUGAAGGAAUAAUUGCAUUGAGAAUUUGCUUCCAAAAUAAAAUUUGAAUGAAAUAUUUGGGAAGUUAAAUGUGUCAGAUACAAUGAUCUCAGUCAUUCAUUAUGUAGAGUCCCUAAUGUCUUUUUAUACUAUUUAAGUUACCUGUUUAGGUAUCAUUAUUAGCUCCAUGUGGACAGAAACUUGUUUUAUACUAAGACAUAAGUGACCUGAUUCAGGCUGUAUUAUAAUACAUAUUUCUAAACUACAUCUUUUGCACCUACAAAAAAUAGGGAGAAUGUGAAUACCUAGCAGAGUACUAAUGUGGAUUGUGAUAAAAAUUAAAUGAAAUAAUCCAUGUAAAAGCAUUUGGCACAGGGCUUGGCAUUCAUCACCUCCACCACUUACUAGGUAUGUGACCUCAAGACAGUUUCUUAACCUCUCAAUGCCUCAGAUUUAUCAUCCCUAGUAUACGAAUUAUCAUAGUACUUACCUCAGAGAUUUAAUAUAAAGACCUUAGAGCAAAGCAUGGUAUAACUUAAGUUCCCAGUAAAUGUGAGCUACUAUUAGUAUUUCAAUGCAGGAAGGACCGCAUUUAUACUCUGGCAGAAACCAUCAGAAAAUAGUGUUCUUUUUGGACACAAAUCAAGAAAACAAUAGUUAUAAUGUGGCCCAAAGCAGGGAGAUGGGAUUGGGGCAGAAGACUGGUGUGCAGUCUGGGCCUACUCCUUGCCUGUGGAAACUUGGGUAGUCUUCAGUUUCUCAUUUUGUAUCACAGGGAAAAACACCUAAUGCAGAUUUGAUAUGCAAAACUUAAGAGUUACUGUGUAUGAAAAUGUUCUAUAAUGCGCUAUAUCAAUGCUAUUUAGUAGGAACUAUUUUUGAUCAUUUUGAUCAUUUGACUGUUUUUAUCAUAUUAGCACCUCCAAUCCCAUUAGCUUUCCUAACCCCAUCAGCAUUCAGAAAUGGAUUCUGUAUCUUUGUCAGCAUAACCAUGAUUUCCUUACUUUGCUAUUCCUUGGAUAUAUGUCAUUAACCAGUCUGGGUACAAUUAGUGCAAGGAGUAGAAAUGAGACUAUAUUCUGUGAAUUUCUAACUCUCCAUUUUGGCAGAACAACUCUGGACCAGCCACUAUAGCUGUCAGGGUGAUUUAUGAUUGUUCUUCACCAAGCUGACAGCCGGUGGAGAAAAAGCUUCAUGCAAGAAAAAUUCCUUAUAUUUAUUCUACCUAGUUUAAUACCUGAUGAACCACGUUAUAAGAACAAUUCUUAAAAUAGCCUUGAGGAGAGCACCUCCACAUUGCCCAGACAUACAAUUUAUUAUAGAAAUACUGGUGGAGAAUGGAGGGGAGAUGGUGGUCAUGCUGUGAACUUGACUGGCUUACGGACAAGACAUUGGUUGGAAAGCUGGCAAUAAAAAAAGCAGCCCAAUGUACUUUAAAUGCUAACUGGCACUCUUCUAGUUGCUCUCAAUUUUUUUCUUACAGUAAGCCUUCCUCUUAGGUAAUACUAUUAUCACAUCAACAUGAUUAUAAAUAAGAAUGGAGAAUCAAUCCAAGAAAGACACAGCAUGACUACCUCCAAAGCCACUUAAUUUGGAAAUAGAAAUGAAGAGGUGUACAGUUCAUCCUCAGUAGGGUUGCCUAUGCUUUGUGCCUUCCUGAAACUUUUAAUCACUGGAGGCUGUCAUAAUCUUCCACAUCCACACCGUCCAUAAAGCAUUUGUUACAUAUUGACUUAUUUUGUAUUGCUCUUUAAGGAUAUGCUAUUUGUUCAUCUUUUCUUCUCAACUAGAUACGGUCUUUAACCUCUCCUAUCUCUUCCUCUCAGCCUAUAAAUAUACAAAAGUCUCAUCAAAGAACAAACUGACCAACCAAACAAAACCAUUCCCUUCACUUCCUGUCUGCUGUAUUUACUUCCUUAUCUGGUUGAGCCCUCCAUUUCCUGAAAGAGCAGGUUACACUCAUUGUCUCCGCUUGGCACUCUCUGUUCUCCUGGCUUUGAGGGCACCACUCUCUCUUGCUUCUAUUCUACGCUGUCUCCUUUUGUUUUCGACAUUUCUGACAAUACCUUUUCAGCUUCCUUCUUUGGCUUUUCUCUCAUCUCUCUUCCUUUUCCUAGGGCUCACCUAUUAACAUUCCCUGAGAUUCUUCAUUUACUCCAAUAUCUUAAAUAUGAUAACAGGUCUCGAAUGCAUAUUUAUAUUUUAUUUUUUGAGACAGAAUCUUGCUCUGUCACCUAGGCUGAAAUGCCAUGGCAUGAUCAUGGCUCACUGCAGCCUUGGUCUCCCAGGCUCAAGCAAUCUUCCCGCCUCAGGCUCCCAAGUAGCUGGGACUACAGGCAGGCACCACCAUACCUGGCUGAUGUUUUUGAAUUUUCAGUAGAUACAAGGUCUCACUAUGUUUCCCAGGCUGGUCUCGAAUUCCUAAGCUCAAGCAGUACUCCCACCUCAGCCUCCUAAAGUGCUGAGAGCAACCACACCCAACUCAAAUACAUAUUUCUAAUGAGACAUGUUACUAAAACUCAGAAUUAUGUCUCCAACUGCCUACUGAGCACUUCAAAUACAACAUAUCAACAACAGAACUUACUUUCCCCCCAAACACUCUUUUUUAUUCAGCUUCUUGAUUGGGAGACCUCUGGAAAUUAUACUUAAUUCUUUCUUUUCUUUCAUUUGCUUCUGUGGCCCAUUUGAUUCUACUCCUAUUUCUUGAACACACUGAAUUAUUUCCAUUCCACUUUCCAUGUCCUCAUUAUUGUUCUCAUUGCCUUUCCCUUGAACUACCAGAACUCUCCUCAUAAUGUCUCUAGCCUUCAUAUUCACCCACCUUCAAUGUAAUCCUCACCUAGCCCAUUUGUCAUUAAGGUGGACUCUGAAAGCAAAAUGACACAACACUUAACAAAGGGGAAAAUCCCUUAAUUAUGUCAUUUUGCAGUUAAAAAUCCUCAAAUGGCACUCCAUUGAUUUCAAAGCAAAGUGUCAAUUAUUUGGGCAAAGUCAGGCACUUUUUUGCCUUGACUCUUGUUUGCCCUUCCAGUGGAAUCUGCAUGAUUCCUCCAAUGCAUUCUUUGAUCCACAUUUAUGCCCUUUAUUGUCACCAAACUUUACAUGCACAUGUAAUUUCCUCUUCCUAGAGUGGCUUCCCCUUAUUGUUUGGCCUGGAAAUAUCCAGGCAUAUUCUCCCUCAAAACUGCAUUUAAGCAUUAUUCCUUCUAGGAAGACCUCCCAAACCCAGUGUAGUAUGAGACAAAACCACAGUAUGUGAAAUCUUAGGAAACCCUAACUAGAUGCCAAAAUGAUCAGUUUAGUCUAAAUUUAUUUGCAAACAUUAGCUACUAGUAGAUAAUGAAAUAAAUCAAGUUAUUCUUUAUCUAUGAAGAUAUCAUUUUUUGAAUAAGUCCCCCAAAUAUGGAGUUAGAUGACUCAUCAGAGCAGGGUGUGAGUGUUCAGGAAAGCCUGUGCAUACUUAGGUCAUCUAUAUGAGUUAGGAAUGCAGAUGCAUAAUAAAUUGGUUGGGAUUUAUUAAUACAUGCACCUGCAUUUCUGCUUAAGAAGCUAUUGUUUGAUCUAACGAUGUCCUAUAGAACAAGCCCAAAACAAACCAAAGAUAUUUUCAAGGCUCAAGUAUAUCGGGCAUAUGGGAAGCAUGUAAAUGUUCAAAGAGGAUGUCCAGUAAUGAGGAAUCCAACAUUUAUCCCAAUAGCAACAUGUUAAAUGCUCCCACUCCCUUCUGACCAUUGCUGCUCAAGUGUUUCCUUCUGAGAUAAUUCCUUGAAAGUGUGUGUACAUGACCAGUCUCCAUGGCUAACACAUACACAUGCAUGGAACCUAGAAGCAUUAAGGAACAACUCUGAGGUCAUUAGAAGCUAAAAAUACUGAACCUUCACACUUGCCCUUGAGCAAGUAUUCUUUAGCAGAAAAGCCAAAGGGAUUAUAAUAAAAUGAACAAACAACAAGCCUACUCAUAAAGCAUGUUAUGCUUUAUGGAUAGCGCCCCCCCAUUAAAAAAAAACAAAAACAACAAAAAAGCCCAGGAUGAUUGCCUUUUACUAUUGGAAGGGAGGGGGAAUUUUGCAAAAAGCUGCUAUUUGUAUAAACCUGUGGACCCACCACCCUCAAUAAUAUACAAAAUAGAAAGAACUAUUUGUUUCAAGAUGGUCUUGUUUUUUAUUUGUUUAAUAAUAGCUUUAUUGAGGUAAAAUUCCUAUACUAUAAAAUUUACCAUUUAAAGUAUAUAAUUAAAUGAUUUUUAGAUAUUUACUAUGUUGUGCAAGUAUUACCACUAUGUAAUUUUUAAAAAUCUUUAGCACCCCCCAAAAGAAACCCUGUUAUGCAAAUAAUCAUACAGAGUUAUUUGCAAAUAUGCAAAUGCUGAAUAUUUGCAUCUCCCCAAAUUUCAUAUUUUGAAGCCCUAAUCCACAAUGUGAUAUUAUUUGAAGCUAGCACUUUUAGGAGGUAAUAAGAUUAAAUCAGGUCAUAAGAGUGGAGUCCUAAUCCCAUAAGACUGGAAGCCCUAUAAGAAGAGAAAGAGAGUCAGAUCUUUCUCUCUCUUUCCAUGCACACGCACCACUGAGGAAAGGCUAUGUGAGCAUGCAAUGAGAAGGCGGCCAUCCGCAAGCUAGGAAGAGAGCCCUCACCAGGAAUCAAAUCAGUUGGCACCUUGAUUUUGGACUUCCUAGCCUUCAGCACUGUGAGAAAUAAAUUUUCGUUUUUUAAGUCAUUCAGUUUUUGGUAUUCUGUUACAGCAGCUUGAAUUACCAAUAUAAACCCAUACCCAUUAGCAAUCACUCCCCAUGCUCCCCUUCCUCAGUUCCUAAAAGCCACCACUCUACUUUCUAUGGAUUUGCCCAUUUGGGCACUUCAUAUAAAUGGAAUCAUCUAAUAUGUGGCCUUUUGUGACAGGCUUCUUUCACUUAGCAUAUUUCCAGGUUCCAUUCAUGAUGUAGCAUUUAUUGGUACUUCACUACUUUUUAUUGCUAAAUAAUAUUACAUUGUAAGGGUACAACACAUUUUGUUUAUACAUUCAUCAAUUCAUGAACAUUUGGGUUGUUUUUACUCUGGGACUAUUAUGAAUAAUGCUGCCAUGAACAUUCAUGUGCAGGUUUUUGUGUGAACAUAUGUCAUCGGUUCUAUUGUUUAUAUACCUAGAACUGGAAUUGCUAUGCCAUGUAACUCUAUGUUUUAACAUUUCCAGGUACUGCAAGCUUACUUUCCAACGUGGCUGCAUCGUUUCACAUUCCCACCAGCAGUAUGAGGUUUCCAAUUUCUCUGCAUCCUCAUCAAAACUUGUUAUUAUCUGUCUUUUUUAUUUUAGACGUUCUAGAAGGUGUGGAGUGGUAUCUCAUUGUGGUAUUGAUUUGCAUUUCCUUAAGGACUAAUGCUUUUGAACAUUUUUUCAUGUGCUUAUUGGCCAUUUGUAUAUCUUCUCUGGAGAAAUGUUUAUUCAAAUCCUUUGUCCAUUUUUUAAUUGGAUUGUCUUUUUAUUGUUGCAUGGUAUAAGUUCUCUAUAUAUUCUGGACACAAGUCUCUUAUUAGUUAUACCAUUUGCAAAUAUUUUCUCCCAUUCUGUGCGUUGUCUUUUAACCUUUCUAAUGUGUCCAUUGAAACACAAAAGUUUUUAAUUUUCACAAAGUUCAAUUUAUCUACUUUUUUCUUUUGUCACUUAUUUGUAUCAUAUCUGAGAAACCAUUACCUAAUCCAAGGUCAGGAAGGAUUACUCCUAUGUUCUCUUUUGAGAGUUUUAUUGUUUUUACUCUUAUAUUUAAGUUGAAUAUCCAUUUUGAGUUAGUUAAUUUUUGUAUAUAGUAUGACAUAGGAUCGAGAGGAUCUUGUUAAUCACUUUUUCCUGAUAUACAUCAGCUUCAAAUGUGAAGCUAUAAAUCUCCCUGUAGGUUUCCUGAAAGCCCUCAUUAUAUAAAGCAACUUCUGUGACAAAUUUGACUUGAUUAAUUAAUUAAUUAGAGACACAGUCUUGCUCUGUCCCCCAGACUGGAGUGCAGUGGUGCCAUCUUGGAUCACAGCAACCUUCAACUCUCAGGUUCAAGCAAUUCUAGUGCCUCAGCUUCCCAAGUAGCUAGGAUCACAGGUGUGCACCAGCAUGCCUGGCUACUUUUUGUAUUUUUAGUAGAGGCAUGUUUUUGCCAUGUUAGCCAGACUGGUCUCUAACUCCUGGCCUCAAGUCUUCCCCUGCCUUGGCCAACCAAAGUGCUGGGAUUACUGGUGUGAACCACCGUGCCUAGUCAUGAUAAUUUAUUGAGUGGAGUUCUGUUCAAGAUGAUGGAGGGCUAACAGCAGCAAAAGCCAGGCUCACUGGCUCUUGCCUGUAAUCCUAGCACUUUGGGAGGCCUAGUUGGUUAGGUAGAUCACCUGAGCUCAGGAGUUCGAGACCAGCCUAGCCAACAUGGCGAAACCCUGUCUCUACUAAAAAUACAAAAAUUAGCCGGGCAUAGUGGUGGAUGCUAAUAAUCCCAGCUACUCUGGAGGCUGAGACAGGAGAAUUGCUUGAACCUGGGGGCGGAGGUUGCAGUGAGCUGAGAUUGCGCCACUUCACUUCAGCCUGAGUGACAGAGUGAAAUUCCAUCUUAAAAGAAAAAAAAAAAAAAAAGGAAAGAAAGCAGCAAAGAGAAUUUUUUGGCAAGAUUAUGAGCCAAUUUUAAGAGCUUUUAUUACAUUUCAAAUGUGAUUUUAAAUUCUCAAAGUUGGACAGAUAGCAGGGAAAGAAUGGUCACAGACUUUUCCCUAAUAUUUUAAGUUGCUUCAAACCAGUUAUUAAAUCUUAUAUGUAUUUUUUAAAGACUUAUUCCACAGGGGUUUGAUUAAUUUACACAGACUUCUUCCAAAACUGUAUCUAAACCACAUUGUUGAUAUCUAAGAAACUCUAUGAGCUUCUUCAAAAGCCCUCUUAAAAAUACAACAAAAUCAUGUUAGCAACUCCAGAUUCCAAGUUGAAAUCCUCCCGCUUUAGUAUAAGAACCAUCAGUUUUGAAUGAGUCUGGAUACGAAAACCUAUUUUCCCAUUUUGAGGAGAAAAUCCCUUUUUAGAGACUCUUUCUUGAAUGGAUAUUUGUUAUAACAUAUUUGGGCUUAGGGCUAAAACCUUUGGUUUGUAAGCUGAGGUUUUCAUUUGCACUUACCAUCAACAGCGUAUAAGUUGAAAAGAAUCUCAGGUCUGGUUGCUGUCCUGAGCUACUGCAAAGAAGAAACCACUGAGAAUAAGAGCAUUUCAAUUAUUGUACAUCACAUUUGCUAUUUGCUGCCGUUAUUCUUCUAUUAAAGGAGGAUAAUCAACUGAUAUGAUAUUGUAGAUCUCAGUGCCUAGUGCAUUGUAGGUCCUCAAUAUAUGUUGAUUCUUCUUUUCUUUACAUAUUUUUGAGGUACAGAAAGAAGUUCUUAAAAUGGUUUUUAACUGUAAUCAUUUUGGAAAAUUAGCUAUGAAGAUGGAAAUUUGUGAACAAAGGAGAACUUGCAAAUGCCAUUUUACUGAGCAUGUUACUGAAUGGUUAUAUAAGGAGUAAAUAUUCUCUCAGCCUUAGUAAGUAAAUAUGAACCAAUAAGAACACAGGUGAGGACUCUUUUCCUAACCAGAAUAGAUGGCUAAGGUUUACAGGGCAAUAAAUUAGACUAUUUGUAUCCAAAGCAAUAUUGUUGUCACCACCAAUUGUAAUAAGCAUUUUUAUAAUUUAUGCCUUUAAUGUGUUUAUUAUGAAAAAGCUUCUAAGUAUAUUGCACAAGUGGUAAUCUGCUCCAGAACUGGAAAUUUGGGAGACUUGGUUUUUGGACUCAGCCUAUUCACUAUUAUUUGGUUGAUAGGUUUAUUAUUAUUAUUAUUAUUAUUUUUUAAAGGCCUGAGACAGUAGAGACUUUCUAAUAAAAUAUGCUGCAGUGAUGAAAAU
rnacentral:lncRNA from 1 species